GGCCGGUUAGCUCAGUUGAUUAGAGUGUGGUGCUAAUAACGCCAGGGUCACGGGUUCGAUCCCUGUGCAGGCCA
rnacentral:tRNA from 1 species